CCCGCUAAAAUUAAGCAUAUCGCUAAGCGGAGGAAAAGAAACUAACAAGGAUUCCCCUAGUAACUGCGAGUGGACAGAGA
rnacentral:ncRNA from 1 species